rnacentral:rRNA from 1 species
UACGGGGGGGGCAAGCGUUGUUCGGAAUUACUGGGCGUAAAGGGUUCGUAGGUGGCCAACUAAGUCAGACGUGAAAUCCCUCAGCUUAACUGGGGGAACUGCGUCUGAUACUGGUUGGCUUGAGUGCAGGAGAGGAACGCGGAAUUCCAGGUGUAGCGGUGAAAUGCGUAGAUAUCUGGAGGAACACCGGUGGCGAAGGCGGCGUUCUGGACUGCAACUGACACUGAGGAACGAAAGCCAGGGUAGCAAACGGG